UGGUUCUCUACCCUAAGUUACCAUCCCGCCUCUCUCCUAUGCUAGGUGUCUCUCUCGAUCUCUCACUCUCUUUCUCACAUGGCCGAAAAAUGAAGAAGGCUUGGAUGAAUGGAAGGGUACGUACAGAGGCUUCUCUAGGAGACAGGCUUCGAACAGAGAUGAUGCGACAACACCAUUGUUUGACGGUAACUCUCUCUCUCUCUCUAUCUCGCUCCCUCACUCUCUCUUUCUCUCUUCGAGACACUGUCUCGUCCGAUCUUCUCUCUGUUUGUUGCAGAUGUGCGACAGGGUGAUGGAACUUGAGGCUUGAGGCGUGCGACAGGAAGGUUUGGUCAUUUAUUCUACAGGGUGGCUCAGUUGUGGGUGUGAUGGUGCUUGCAGGGGCGGUUCGUGAGCUGGUUUCGACUUCGGCAAGGGGAUUUUACUUUGAUUUCCAAAAGGCAUGUGAAGCGUUAAGAAAUUGAAGAUAAGAUUUUACACAUAGAAACCGAAGAUUGAAAGAAUAUUCUCACUUUUAUUCCACUGGUGCUCGCUUGUGUGGUAAGUUCUAGCGUAUACUUGCUCUUAACAUGUUUUCAUGGUUUCAUGUGAAUGCAAUAAUCUGACAUCUUACAAGUAUUAAUAAAUAAAAGCUUUAUUAUUUACAUGUUAAUUUUAUUUUUAGACCCAAAAUAACAUGCAUUCUAUUUUUGGCCCAUUAAUUUGAAGAUAUCCCAGAUUUGAAACCCAUUCUUUGUUUUUGUCAUAGUUUGAACAGUCUCUAUUACAAAUUAAUGAGCAAAACUGAAUCAACAGGAAAAAAAACCUGAUUAUUUAUUUAUAGAAAGAGGAAAUGGUGGUGGCAAGUCACGAGGCUCUGCACUCAGUUAGGUAGCCUGCAAGUCACGAGGACUGAGGUGAUGGUGUGCUCUUCAAUGAACUCAUUUUUUAUUUUAUUUUGU